rnacentral:lncRNA from 1 species
GGUUAACCUCACUGUGACAUUUCUAUCUUUCUCAUGCAAUGUAAGAAGAAUUUCAGGAGUCAGUAUCAGCUCUCAUUAAUUUUGUGGUUUUAGCUGAAAGCAGUAUCAAGGAUAAGAUCAAGAGAAAAAAGAUUCCUUAAAGCUAUCAUUACUUCACAAAUACUUUCAAUCUUCCGUUCUGCUUUUGAGAAGUGAGAUGACAUUUAGAACAACUGGAAAUGUCUCUAGGACUUCUGCUCUCUCAUUCACAAAAAUAAAGACAAUUUACUGCCUUCUCACUAGCAUCCCCUUUUGUAUCUCAUCUUACACAGGCAGAUCUCUUCCAAAACUUGGUAGGAAUAGUCACCAUGCAUUACUCGAUCACAUCAUGUCCAGCAAAUCAUCAACAUCACCACCUUCAUCUGUGGCAGGCAGAUUUUCAUUUUUCUUUUCUUUUGGAGUCAAGAACUUUUCAGCUUCUUCACUAGUCACUGAACUUCCCUCUGCUUCAUCUUUCGUGAUCAAAGAAAUUCUGUCUUGUACCACAAUCUCCCAGAAAUCAGCUAAGGCUUUAUCUUCCACCUUUGACUUCAAGGCCUGUAGAAAAUCAUUAAAGCACUGCACCUUGGAUAGCUUUAUAGCCUCCCCUCUGAAAACUCGAAUACAAUUGAUCCC